GCGGGGGUGUCCGAGACGGCCAAAGGAGACAGGCUUAGGACCUGUUGGCUCAGUGCCUGCGAGGGUUCGAAUCCCUUCCCCCGCA
rnacentral:tRNA from 1 species